AGCCUUUGCAGGCGAUUUCUUGGGCCUGGUGAACUCAUGCAUCCUUCAAAGCCCUGCUCAAGCCUCAGCUCCCUGGGGAAGCGGGUCCAGGCUUCUAGCCCCAUUGUGUACACCAGGCACUGAGCCCAGCACCAAGGGAGAAAUCAUCGCCAUCCUCUUUUCCUUCCAGUGAUUGGUCCAGGGGGUCACUUUCCCUGGGGGUAGUCAGCUGUCGUGUCACGAGGACAUUCAAACAGCCCUGUGGGAAGACCCAUGUGACAAGGAGCUGAGGCCUCCAGCAAACAGCCAGAUGAAGACCAUGAGGCACAGAGAGGUUUGUUACCUUGCCCAAGGUCACACAGCUGGUAAGUGGGACAAUCCUGGAG